rnacentral:rRNA from 1 species
UACAGAGGUCUCAAGCGUUGUUCGGAUUCAUUGGGCGUAAGGGUGCGUAGGUGGCGCUGUAAGUCAGGUGUGAAAUUUCGGAGCUUAACUCCGAAACUGCAUUUGAUACUGCGGUGCUUGAGGACUGGAGAGGAGACUGGAAUUUACGGUGUAGCAGUGAAAUGCGUAGAGAUCGUAAGGAAGACCAGUGGCGAAGGCGGGUCUCUGGACAGUUCCUGACACUGAGGCACGAAGGCCAGGGGAGCAAACGGGG